rnacentral:misc_RNA from 1 species
UCCGAGUUGUCCCCGGCGGUCCCCUUAGAGUCCCCGGCAUUACCCGCUGGCAACUAAGAGCAGGGGUUGCGCUCGUUGCGCCACUUAAGGCAACACCUCACGGCACGAGCUGACGACAGCCAUGCAGCACCUGUGCAGGCUCCCGAAGGAGCCCCGUGUUUCCACGGGUUUACCCUGCAUGUCAAGCCCUGGUAAGGUGGGGAUGACGUAUAGGAGCUCGAC